UAUCCACUGAUAACACACUUUGAUGACCUUAAUGAGCAAACAAAAACACCUGGCUCGUCUGAGGGGCGCCAGUGAGCAGAGCUGUGGACUACUUGAGGGAACGUGAUAUGAGACUUUAUAAAUAUUCGCACUUGACAACAAAACCAUGACUUUAAAGCUAGAAAAACCGACAAGUGAUUAAGGGAGAUCAUGUCUCUGUUACUCUUGGAACUUAGAAAAACAUCUCUAGAGCAGGAAGGAAGAUAUUCGAAGGAGUGUGUUUCUCUCCUCUCAUCAUGGAGAAAAUGGACCCGAGAAACUUUUCUUUGGACCUUCUGCUGAGAGAAAGCAAAGCCAGAGGAGGAAUUUGUCUCAGAAGUACUUCACAGUCUGACAACUGCCAGACCACUGCGAAACAGAGACAGGGAAUGGGACGACAGUGGUGGGCAGGACAACACCUUGACUGCUUAGUUAUCUACACCGGCCCUUUAUUUAACCUAAACACCUGUCAGGACUGCGGAGAUGAAAUGGAGAUGGGUGGCUCACUGGACAUUUUUUGUUAGUUUUCUUUCCAAGGUUGUUUUACUGAUUAAAUCUUUUUU